GUGCCAGCAGCGGCGGUAAUACGGAGGGGGCUAGCGUUGUUCGGAAUUACUGGGCGUAAAGCGCGCGUAGGCGGAUUAUUAAGUCGGGGUGAAAUCCCGGGGCUCAACCCCGGAACUACCUUCGAUACUGGUAGUCUAGAGUUCUGGAGAGGUGAGUGGAAUUCCGAGUGUAGAGGUGAAAUUCGUAGAUAUUCGGAGGAACACCAGUGGCGAAGGCGACUCACUGGCCAGAUACUGACGCUGAGGUGCGAAAGCGUGGGGAGCAAACAGGAUUA
rnacentral:rRNA from 1 species